GGGGGUGUAGCUCAGUGGUAGAGCAUCUGCCUUUUAAGCAGGUGGUCGAUGGUUCGAUCCCAUCCACCCUCA
rfam:Candidate division Zixibacteria bacterium RBG-1 RBG1_1C00001, whole genome shotgun sequence.